CGUUCAGCCAUUUCGAUGCCCAACGGGGUAGUGCACACCCGCCGGGCCAAGUGCUGCCCACAGCCAUCUCCUCUCAUGGCAGGAUCGGGGCCCAGAGCCUGGCAGGAGCUCCAGGACCGCCCGGCCCGAAGGAACGCAGCCGGGGGCGGGACCUCGCGGGCAGCGUGCCCGUCACGCACGCCGCGCGGGGGCGGGGCCCUGGCGCCCACGGGAAGUGCUGCGGGGCGGGCGGUCGGCCUUAGCCGCUUGGCUUCGUGGCCCUUUAGGUGGCCGGCUACUCGCCCACCUACAAAAAGCCGCCGGAGACAGUGCGGCUCCGACGGAAAAGGUCCCGGAGCCAAGAAGCCGCCGCCUCCCGGUCUCCCCAGCUGCGGAGCCGACGCCUCGCCGCGCCGCCCUGGCGGCCGUGCUGCCCCUCAGGCCCCUCCCGGCCGCCGGCGGCAGAGUGGGCGGUCCGACCGCGGCCCGCAGGAACCUCUCCGCCCGCCUGGACAAGCGGCUGCGUGUCGUUAUGGACGCCCGGGACGGGCUGCCCCGCGGCCAGCAGGCGGCGCCGGGCUCGAUACUACUCAAGAAAAUGAUUUGCCAUGGGAAGAGAAGUCAUCUGAAAGAACAACAGUUACUGAACUACCCCAGGCUUCAUACCUAUCAUUCUCUGAAUCAGAUAGUCUGGCCUCAGAAAAUACUGAGUUAACUUGUGGACUGGAGUAUUAAAACUGGACUCCUUGUCACCUCUUCUCAACCCUUUACCUGGGCAGAUCAUUUGAAAGUGCAGGAAGAGGCUCAAGGUCUUGUCCAGCAUUGUAGAGAACAGAAGUUACUUUGCCUCAAAGUAUAAAGGGCUUAAAAGCAUUUCUUGGAGACAAGUCUUCCAUCUUCCUAAGCAGGCACAGGAAGAUUAGAUACAGUGUGUGAGAAUGGAAAAUAGGAAGUUCUUUGCGGGGAUGAGAGUUCUAUGGAGAGUUGUGAAGGAUUUUGAAUCUCACACCACUUGCAUACCAACAAGUGAACCUGCCACCAUUUCACAGAUUUCAGCAGAAGACACAAGUCUACUAGGUCAGCGAUGGGCGUUAUUGCUCAUGAUACAGCAGAGAGCAUGGGAUUCAUCAUGUUCUCGCUUGUUCCCACGGCCUUCUCAGUCCCUAAGAGGAAUGUGAGUUAUGUCUGCCAGUGUGAAAAGGUACUGCUAGUGAUACUACCAAGCUUUAACUAUGUAGUAAGAUGGUGUUUUUAUUAUUCUUGUGAGGAAAUCAAGAGUGCUACAAUACAUUUCUGCUUCCCUGGGUUUCUUUUUUCAUGCAGACAUCCUAGAAAAGAGUCUGAGACAAAAGCGGUCAGAAGAAGUAUAGAAACCAAGUUCAUUCCUUUUUGUUGUUGCAUGGUGUUCCAUUAUAUGGAUUCACCACUGCAAUUCAUUUAUCCAUUUGCCAGUCAAUGGACAUUCUGGUUGCUCCCAGGUUUUGGCUAACAAAGCUACCUGAAUUAUUUGUGUAGGUUUAUUUGAACGGACAUAUUUCCUUUAUCUUUGUGAACAUCCAGUUGUGGGAUUGCUUGGUCACAUAGUAUAUGUUUAACUUUUUAAUAAAGUGUCAAAAUAGUUUGCAAAGUGGUUACCAUCUACCAUUUUACACUGACAAAAAGUGUUCAAAUUUCAGUUGUUUCAGUUUUAUGCCUGUACACAUGUAAGUGAUUUUCUUAUUGUGGUUUUAAUUUUAUUUUCUUUAAGAACUGAUGAUGUUGAGUAUCUUUUCAUGUUUUUAGUUGCCAGCUUGUACCAUCGUUGAUUAAGUUUCUCUUUCAAAUUCUUUUUUUUUUUUUAA